GACUCCCAUCACCACUUCGGCCUCUCCGAAAUAUUGAAAGCAUAUCUUGGUGGUUGUACAGAGUCGUCAUCAACUGAAAGCAUGCAAAAUUCUGGAUUUUAUAGAGAUCUGUCAAGCGCAAAGUUUUGGAGGUCACCAAUGAAAAAGGGUCCAAGAACCUCUGCAACCAUCAUGGUCCUCCUCUUUCUUCUCGUAGCAGUGUGGAUUUCUUCUUCAUGGAUUAACUCUGUAAGUUUUCAGAACUCAUCUAGACAAUUCAACAUAGUACUGCGUCCCAUAUGGACGCAUGAAGAAUUAAAUGGCAUAUUUGUUCUUGCUAGAUCUUGAAACCUCAAAACUAAUCUAAUUUACCUUUGUCUGAAAAUCUUAGUACCAGUACUUUUCUGUUGUUGUGCAGACAACUUUGGCUGUAAGUAAUGAAAGAAAGCAACAAAUGAUUGUUUCUACGCCGCAGAGGAAUUCUGCAAAGAGGAAGAUUGAAGUGUCACUUAAUUGUUCCUUGGGAAAUUUGACACAAACAUGUCCGUCAAAUUAUCCAACAACGUUUGGUUUCACUGAAACUGACGAUGGAUUGUCAAAUGUGACGUGCCCUGAUUAUUUCCGCUGGAUCCAUGAAGAUCUAAAGCCAUUUAAGUCCACGGGGAUUACUAGAGACAUGGUGGAAAGAGCUAAAGGGACUGCCCAUUUCAGGUUGGUAAUAGUGAAGGGGAAGGUCUAUGUGGAAAAAUACAAGAAAUCAAUACAGACUAGAGAUGUGUUUACGUUGUGGGGGAUUCUGCAGCUUUUGAGACGGUAUCCCGGAAGGUUACCGGACUUGGAG
rnacentral:lncRNA from 1 species